AAAUAAGAAGCAAAAUUUGCGUUUAGUUUCGACCUAAAAAAUUGGUCAUUUCACUGGCCCUUAUUU
rnacentral:tRNA from 1 species